CCAAAGGCUCUUUUAAGAGCCACCAAAGUGUCAAAUGAAGGGCUG
rfam:Pan troglodytes isolate Yerkes chimp pedigree #C0471 (Clint) chromosome 1, whole genome shotgun sequence.